rnacentral:misc_RNA from 1 species
GUGGCAUCAGGGGUGAUACAAAUUUAACCAGGCCUUGGAAAUACUGAUUUAGAAAUGCACCAGCCAGAACAGGAAGAAGCACAACCUGCAUGGUUGAUAUUAGCAGUCCAGCUGCAUCUACUGCAACAAAUUGUCCAGCCAGUUUGGCUGUAAGAAAUGGGGUCAUAAUCACAGCUGCUAAAGUGCUUGCUGCUGUCAUCAAUACUGAGAGUGCCACAUUUCCGCGUGCAAUGUAAGUCACUAUGUUGCUUGCUGUUCCACCAGGGCAGCAACCAACCAAUAUUAGACCAGCUGCAUAAUGUGAAGGCAGAUUUAAGAGCUUGCUCACCAAAAACCCAGAUAUUGGCAUCACCGAGUACUGAAGCAC